CAAGCCCUUAAGCUUUUUUCCUGGAAAAUACACAAGCUCCCCAAGCGUUUUUUGGGAAAAAACACGUCAUAGGUUCUACUGCGACUUGUGUUUCUUUCUCCCAGGCAUGCCCUCAACCUCGGCAAAAUAAACUUCUGAUUGAUUGAGAUCCGCUUCCAUCACUUUUUGGUCUACUGAAGGAGCAACACACCUGUCCAUCAAUAGGACUAGAGUUUGAUGCAAUUACGCCUGUUUCUCAACAAGCGCGAUUAUGGAAAGUGUUAAAAGAGGAUUAUGUUCUGAUUGGUGACAGCUGGCUUCAUAACAAUUGGAUGAACAACAGAUUAUCCAAGUGUAUAACUUUAAAAAAUUGAGCCAGGAGCUGGGUCAGAGGAUGAAACAAACACCCUCUUUGGCUGA
rnacentral:lncRNA from 13 species